UUGGACAGCAAGCAAACUAGGAUUAACUGAAGCAGGGUUGAACAAUCAAAAUUUCCAAACAUUCCAACCGCUGGCAAACUGCUGCGGGACAAACAAGUUUAAAUUAUCGAUUCGGCAUUCGCUACAUGUAGCAAAGUGUCAUAUACUCGUUGUUAUGAACUAAUAGUUUCCAUCCGCUCGCCAAUCGAUCUCGCUUCAAUAUUCCAUACAGUAUCAAUAUCAUUUACGGAAGUAAUAAGACUAGGUAACUGUAAACCCAAUCAAGAUUCCGCAUCGUAAUAUUUGCAAUACGUUACAAAAGCUCAGGCGAGACGAUUAAAUCUGCUAUUACUCUGUCAAAGCAGGUGUCAAAAUUUAUUAUCAGACGUCGUAAACUCUAAGCCAUCUUCAGAGGCACAAGACAUGCGAAUAAGUCCCGAAUAAGAUCGUAUCUCCUGCAAACACCUGCUACGACGAUUUGUCAUCCAUAGCAGAGCUUUCGGAUCCGGUAUAUUCCGGUUGUGCGUCAGAACAGCUUUCAGUGAGCGCUUUAAAGUACAAUUUGUCAUUCCUAGCGGACAAUGGCUCUUCCGCACAUUCGAACGGGUUUUCGUAAAGGUAUCCUUACUCAGAAACAACGCAGAAUCAAUUUUCGUCAAUCUCGCAAGCACGAACUACAAUUCUAUCCAAAUAAAUAAUUCUAAUGGUUGUUACAAUCGACAAAAGAAUGAAAAUCCUAUAACAUAUAUUCAAUAAUGAAUCGGCACAAACUAGAGUACAAACGAUUGUUUCAAGCGCAAAAAUACGUUCCGUUUAUAAAAAAAAAAGAUACAUUAAGUAUUCGCUUCACGUUAAAAUCAAUGUUGAAAAAGAGAAGUUUCAUCGCGGCAAGCAAGGUAAAAUUCCACGAAGAAAGCAAUUUACCAUGCUGAGAUCCUCAAUGGCCGCGGGAGCCGCGUCAGCAUACACACGAAGCGCGGCUAGUAAAAUCAAUGAGCGCGCAAAAAGCACAUACAGGCGAGCAAGCUGUAUGUGGAAUCUGUAGCGAGGACAGAGAAAGAAGGUGCCUUUGCGCUCUUUUGCCUCGUACACGCUCUCCCUCCCUACACCUCCACCAAUUUGCACCGUUGCAACUUGAAAAAGGGACGAUACGCGCUUUCUCUUUCUAUCUCCAUCCCUCUGCUGCCUGCAACAUUAUUGCUAGAAUGAGUGGAUGCUUCGUUCAAGAAAACGUAGCUGUGCACCGCGCGUUGCGGUCACGGCGAAGAGGUACGGCGGUACCGGAGAAAUGCCAAAAGAAACUAAAGGGAAUGGCGAAGUUAGAAAGCCCAACGAGUUUUCCGGCUGCCUCGUUCCACUCUUUCGUCUUCGUCCACUCUCCUACCUCGUCGCUAUUUCAUCGAACAGCGGUGCUGUCAAAUCGUUCGUACGGCUGACGAGGAAAAGCGGGGAAGGUCGGGGUACUUUCCGCGAAAACGACGAUGAAAGAUGUUUCAAUAUACGAACGGAGUAACGCUCUAGCAUGGAAAAUGCCAUGGAAUACAUAGCGUGAGCCGAAAGAGAUGUUAACGGAAUUUGGAAUGAUGCAUUUUCUACGUUUCGAGACACAAUUAUGACAAAGAAACAAACAUAUACUAUUUCCCGUUUACGUCAGGAGAGCUUGAAAUAAAAAGGUAAAAAUCCUAGAAAGAAAGGCAAAAUUUAUGCGUCUGUGCAAGUCCCGCAGUUUGCAGUAAAGUGUUUUAUGUUUAAGCAUCUUGAAAUAUUGCAAAAAAAAAGAUAAACGUUUUUUAUUCGGAUGAAUAAGAAGAAUGAAGGUUAGCUGAAUAUUUGCAUUCACUUCCCAUUUAAAUUCCAUUUUCUGCCCAUCCCCUGCCAUGUAAAUGUUUUGCAUUGGGCCAUAAAUUUCAAAAAGAAUAAAACAGCGUUUCGUAACGUUUUAGAUAUAUCCAUUUGUAAUAGUUUGC